AGGUCAGGGUACUCCGUUGCAUCCCUGGAAAAUGCGAAGGGGUUGGGAAACUUACGAAUUUCGCGCUGCGGACAUCGCUAGUCAAAGAUCCUUCCUUCCCUCCAGGCUUCGAUUUCAAACACCUCGUCGUAGCGCGACAUUCCUGAGGACCGCUGUUAGUUUGUGCUUUAACCUGUGAAAGUUCUGGAAGUUUUCUGGCUGAAUUUGAAGCUAUGCACCUCUUUUGAGGUUGACUGCAAGGUGUGUUCACUGCAGAAGCAUUAAGGGAUAUCAAAGUACAAUACUGUAGUACAAGUUAUUCAGGAGGAAGAUUAACAACAGUCAUGAUCUCAAGACAGUGUGCCCCACCUAAGGAGUUUCCAUAAAAAAAAUCAAAGGAAUACUGAUGCUGUGCAGAUAAGCAGGUGGAAGCUGAGAUGACCAGUGGGUGGCAUAUAUUGGGCGAAUAUUGUGCAGCAAUGGAGAUCCUGUUGCUCCAACUGGUCCAGAUCCCAACAUUCCAGGAGGUGGAGGAGGAAGGGCUUCAGCAGUUGUGUCCAGAUCAUAUAUGUUGGUUCUUCUCUCAUUAACUCUGAGAGUACCGUUGUGCGUAGUAGUGUCAUCUUCAUCACUUGAGUGGGAUGAGGCCAGGUCAAGGGAACGGUGAUCGAGGCUCAGUUCACUUUCACUCUCACUUUCUCGUCGCUUUGCUGAUCGUCCUGCAGCACCUACAGAAAAUAACCCAUCAUUUACCCAGCUAAUCCAUCACUACGACUAUACGGUGAACUUGAGGUUUUACAAGUAGAACGAGAUGUUGUGCUGGCAGUAGAAAUCCCAAUAUUCCGUCGCAGUAUGUUAAAAUCAUCAUUAUGCUACAGAUGUUCUUGUGACACUAAGUGAUUCUUGAUAUGGAACCUUUCUUCCAGUGCAAGCCAAGAACAUGAAGUACAGGGAAUCUCGUACACGAGUAUUCAGCAGACAGUAACCAACAAGAAUGAAAACAGCAG